rnacentral:sRNA from 1 species
UGAUUAUUGUAGACCAUUUAUGUGUUGCUGGUAUAUAAUGUAUAUUGUGAUACUUAUUAUUCUCUAAUUAGUUUACUAAACUGUUACUGAGUUGGAAUAAUUUUUCCUUUAAACAUUUGUGUGAGAAGGUUUUGUUUUACUGAUUAUAAAUUUUUAAGCAUUGUACGUCAGAAGAAAAUAUUUAAUUUUAUUUGUAUAAAAAUAUUUAUUUUUAUUUAAAGAAAAUAAUUACAGAUUUUAUAUCGUAUGGAACCUUUCUAAAAGACAUCCUUAUGUAGUAGGUUAGAAAAUGAAACAUGAUGCCGUUUUAUCAGCCCUGUGACCCACGUGUAUAGAUUGUUAGCUCACGUGUUAUUUUCUUCUUAUCUGACGUCACUAAGACACGUGAUAUCAUCGCUGUCCAUCACUAACGAGCGUUUGAAGUGAUUUGUGUUACUUGGAUCCUCAUUAAUUAGGUCAUGAUGUUGCUGUGUAGAUUUCAUCGUCCUCAUGGACCGUGGAAACACGCAUCUAUCGCUUAUUAUUACAGAAGACAUUGUAUUAUGUUCAUUUUUUUUUUCCUGUUAGUAAUGUCUUGAAUAAAAAUCAUUUAAAGAUCAUAAAC